UACGUAGGGCGCAAGCGUUGUCCGGAAUUAUUGGGCGUAAAGAGCUCGUAGGUGGCGUGUCGCGUCUGCCGUGAAAGCCCAUGGCUUAACUGUGGGUCUGCGGUGGAUACGGGCAGGCUGGAGGCUGGUAGGGGCAAGCGGAAUUCCUGGUGUAGCGGUGAAAUGCGCAGAUAUCAGGAGGAACACCGGUGGCGAAGGCGGCUUGCUGGGCCAGUUCUGACGCUGAUGAGCGAAAGCGUGGGGAGCAAACAGG
rnacentral:rRNA from 1 species